UACGAAGGGGGCCAGCGUUGUUCGGAAUUACUGGGCGUAAAGGGCGCGUAGGCGGUGUGUCAAGUCAGGCGUGAAAGCCCCGGGCUCAACCUGGGAACCGCGCUUGAGACUGGCACGCUCGAGUUCGGGAGAGGUGAGUGGAAUUCCUAGUGUAGAGGUGAAAUUCGUAGAUAUUAGGAAGAACACCAGUGGCGAAGGCGGCUCACUGGCCCGGUACUGACGCUGAGGCGCGAAAGCGUGGGGAGCAAACAGG
rnacentral:rRNA from 1 species